rnacentral:rRNA from 1 species
UACGAAGGGGGCUAGCGUUGUUCGGAAUCACUGGGCGUAAAGCGUACGUAGGCGGAUUGUUAAGUCAGGGGUGAAAGCCCGAGGCUCAACCUCGGAACUGCCUUUGAUACUGGCUGUCUUGAGUCCGGGAGAGGUGAGUGGAACUCCUAGUGUAGAGGUGAAAUUCGUAGAUAUUAGGAAGAACACCAGUGGCGAAGGCGGCUCACUGGCCCGGAACUGACGCUGAUGUACGAAAGCGUGGGGAGCAAACAGG